GCAUCGAUGAAGAACGUAGCGAAAUGCGAUACUUGGUGUGAAUUGCAGAAUCCCGUGAACCAUCGAGUCUUUGAACGCAAGUUGCGCCCGAAGCCGUUAGGCCGAGGGCACGUCUGCCUGGGCGUCACGC
rnacentral:rRNA from 1 species